rnacentral:tRNA from 1 species
AAGGAUUUAAGUUAACCAAACUAGGAACCUUCAAAGUUCCCAAUAAAGUAAGAUCUUUAAGCCUUA